rnacentral:rRNA from 1 species
UAGGGAAUCUUGCGCAAUGGGCGAAAGCCUGACGCAGCGACGCCGCGUGCGGGAUGAAGGCCUUCGGGUCGUAAACCGCUUUCAGCAGGGACGAAAUUGACGGUACCUGCAGAAGAAGGCCCGGCCAACUACGUGCCAGCAGCCGCGGUGAUACGUAGGGGUCUAGCGUUGUCCGGAAUCAUUGGGCGUAAAGAGCUCGUAGGCGGUUCGGUUAGUCGGGUGUGAAAUCUCCACGCUCAACGUGGAGGGGCCACUCGAUACUGCCGUGACUCGAGUCCGGUAGGGGAGUGCGGAAUUCCCGGUGUAGCGGUGAAAUGCGCAGAUAUCGGGAGGAACACCAGUGGCGAAGGCGGCACUCUGGGCCGGAACUGACGCUGAGGAGCGAAAGCGUGGGGAGCGAACAGGAUUAGAUACCCCCGUAGUCC